AUGGGAUUGGGGCCGGGUGUGUCAGCAAUGAGAGAAUUGGCAGAACCAGAUCCAGCACCUUGCAGGGUGGGGGGCAGUGUCCAUCCGGGGGUGAACCCUCUUUUUCUGCACUGUCUCCAUCCCUCUGCUUUGCCUGGAAAGGGGAUGGAUCCCGGCGGAAUGGGGCCGGGCUCCGCAGGGUGGCUAAACCUGACCGUGCAAACCUCAGCUGGCCAGCCCCUCUGCAGGGAAAGGGCUCGGCAGAGGACAUGGAUGUCACGGAGGGGACACGCACCCUCCCCUGGCUGCGCACACACCGUCUGCACUCGGGGCCACCUGGGGAAGAUGCCGAAAUGGAGCCGAGAGCGAUUCCACAGCAACCCGCGCCCGUUUCCGCAGCGGAGCCGGGCGGGCGCGGGGCUCAUCCCGGCUGCGGAACACCGGAGCGGGCUGGAGGGAGGGCGAAGGGCCCGCAGCGCAUCUCGGGGAUGCGGGGGCACUGACGGGGUUUGGUGGCCAGGGGUUUGCAGCACCCGGAGCCCCGCGCAGCCGCCAUCAGGACCCCCGAGCGGNNNNNNNNNNNNNNNNNNNNNNNNNNNNNNNNNNNNNNNNNNNNNNNNNNNNNNNNNNNCGAAACCCCAGCCCUCUGGGAGCACCCUGCUCUCGGCUGUGCGCAACCUGCACCCCGCUCUGUGCAUCCUGCAUCCCUCUCUGUGCAUCCUGCAUCCCUCUCUGUGCAUCCUGCAUCCCUCUCUGUGCAUCCUGCAUCCCGCCCUGUGCAUCCUGCACCCCGCUCUGUGCAUCCUGCAUCCCGCCCUGUGCAUCCUGCAUCCCGCUCUGUGCAUCCUGCAUCCCGCCCUGUGCAUCCUGCAUCCUGCUCUGUGCAUCCUGCAUCCCUCUCUGUGCAUCCUGCAUCCCUCUCUGUGCAUCCUGCACCCUGCUCUGUGCAUCCUGCAUCCCUCUCUGUGCAUCCUGCAUCCCUCUCUGUGCAUCCUGCAUCCCGCUCUGUGCAUCCUGCAUCCCGCCCUGUGCAUCCUGCAUCCCACUCUGUGCAUCCUGCAUCCCUCUCUGUGCAUCCUGCAUCCCUCUCUGUGCAUCCUGCAUCCCUCUCUGUGCAUCCUGCACCCUGCUCUGCGCACACCCUGUGCACCCCACCGUGCAGCCCUCUGUGCCCAUCCUGCACACCCCUGUGCGAGUCCCUCCUGCUGCCACCAUUUCUCAAACCUCUCAGGAUGGCUCCCAGUGCCCACUGGACUCUGUGGCUGGUGGGCCAGGGAUGGGUUUUCCCUGAGUCAUUGGUCCUGGAAGUGA
rnacentral:lncRNA from 1 species